GCGGCGUGCUAUACAUGCAGUUCGAGCGAAUGGAUUAAGAAGCUUGCUUCUUAUGAAGUUAGCGGCGGACGGGUGAGUAACACGUGGGUAACCUGCCCAUAAGACUGGGAUAACUCCGGGAAACCGGGGCUAAUACCGGAUAACAUUUUGAACUGCAUGGUUCGAAAUUGAAAGGCGGCUUCGGCUGUCACUUAUGGAUGGACCCGCGUCGCAUUAGCUAGUUGGUGAGGUAACGGCUCACCAAGGCAACGAUGCGUAGCCGACCUGAGAGGGUGAUCGGCCACACUGGGACUGAGACACGGCCCAGACUCCUACGGGAGGCAGCAGUAGGGAAUCUUCCGCAAUGGACGAAAGUCUGACGGAGCAACGCCGCGUGAGUGAUGAAGGCUUUCGGGUCGUAAAACUCUGUUGUUAGGGAAGAACAAGUGCUAGUUGAAUAAGCUGGCACCUUGACGGUACCUAACCAGAAAGCCACGGCUAACUACGUGCCAGCAGCCGCGGUAAUACGUAGGUGGCAAGCGUUAUCCGGAAUUAUUGGGCGUAAAGCGCGCGCAGGUGGUUUCUUAAGUCUGAUGUGAAAGCCCACGGCUCAACCGUGGAGGGUCAUUGGAAACUGGGAGACUUGAGUGCAGAAGAGGAAAGUGGAAUUCCAUGUGUAGCGGUGAAAUGCGUAGAGAUAUGGAGGAACACCAGUGGCGAAGGCGACUUUCUGGUCUGUAACUGACACUGAGGCGCGAAAGCGUGGGGAGCAACAGGUACCCCCCCCCCGCGAAAAAAAAAAAUUUUUGGUGUGGGUUCCC
rnacentral:rRNA from 1 species